UGCCGGGGACUCACGGUCUAAGCUAUUCUAUUUGUGUGAUUCUUGAUUAAUUUUGACUUUAUCUUUUUUUUCUUAUUUUUUUUUCCAUUUUUAUUUUUGAUUUUUAUAUUUCAAUCCCUAAUUUUUAUUUUUCUUAUUUUUAUUUUUGUACUAACAAUCUCUCUCUAGAAUUUUUGUGCAGGGACUUGAAGGAGGCCUAAAGGAGAUAUAUUAUCUAGAGAACUCUAGAGAAAAUUUCACAGGCCUCACAAUAUGAUCUAACAAGGAUGAAAUUCUAUCGAGAUAAUUUCAACUACUGGUGGAAACCUCACUCAAGCACAAAUCAAAUUCAAUAUGGGCAAGUUGAUGGACUAUUCACUAGACCACCACAAGCAAA
rnacentral:lncRNA from 1 species